rnacentral:rRNA from 1 species
GACGAACGCUGGCGGCGUGCUUAACACAUGCAAGUCGAGCGGUAAGGCCCUUUCGGGGGUACGACGAGCGGCGAACGGGUGAGUAACACGUGGGUGACCUGCCCUUACGCUCUGGGAUAAGCCUGGGAAACGUGGGUCGUAAUACCGGAUAUGACUCCAUAACGCAUGUUGUGGGGUGGAAAGCCUUGUGCGGCUAGGGAUGGGCCCGCGGCCUAUCAGCUUGUUGGUGGGGUGAUGGCCACCAAGGCGACGACGGGUAGCCGGCCUGAGAGGGCGACCGGCCACACUGGGACUGAGACAACGGCCCAGACUCCUACGGGAGGCAGCAGGUGGGGAAUCUUGCGCAAGUGGGCGAAAGCCUGACGCAGCGACCGCCGCGGU